rnacentral:lncRNA from 1 species
CCCCCUCCGCCCUCCUCUGCAGCCCAGCCUGACCGUGGACAGAGCCCAUCCGCCAGCGAGGGGCCGUUGGGACGCGGGGGACGGCGCCCACCCGUUGCCCUGAGGGUGGUGGCCCGGCCCGGAGCGAACCCCUCCUGCCGGCAGGUGCCCGUCCCGCGGUGCCGGCGGGGUGCGGCUGCGGUCCGGGCUGGUCAGCGGGGAUAGAGAAUGGUUGCCUGGGAAAGACAGCACUGCUGUGUUGGCAGAAUACAGCAAAUUUUACUGCGAUUCAGGAUUGCUUUCCCAGUCCUUCUAUUUCAUUUAUUCUUGGCUGCAGCAGACAGAGGUAAGA